rnacentral:rRNA from 1 species
UCCACGCUGUAAACGAUGAUUACUCGUUGUCGGCGAUAUACUGUCGGUGGCUAAGCGAAAGUGAUAAGUAAUCCACCUGGGGAGUACGAUCGCAAGGUUGAAACUCAAAGGAAUUGACGGGGGCCCGCACAAGCGGAGGAGCAUGUGGUUUAAUUCGAUGAUACGCGAGGAACCUUACCUGGGCUUAAAUGCAUAAUGACGUUCCGGGAAACCGGAAUUUCUUCGGACAUUUUGCAAGGUGCUGCAUGGUUGUCGUCAGCUCGUGCCGUGAGGUGUCGGGUUAAGUCCCAUAACGAGCGCAACCCCUAUUGUUAGUUGCCAUCAGGUCAUGCUGGGGACUCUAACGAAACUGCCCGCGUAAGCGUGGAGGAAGGUGGGGAUGACGUCAAAUCAGCACGGCCCUUACGUCCAGGGCUACACACGUGCUACAAUGGCCGGUACAGAGGGCAGCCAUCCCGUGAGGGAGAGCAAAUCUCAAAAGCCGG